CGUAAGCAACGCGAAGACCUUACCUGGCUUGAACCGCACCUGUAAACCUGUGGAAACACGGGUCCCUCCUUCGGGAGCAGGUGUAGAAGUGCUGCGUGGCUGUCGUCAGCUCGUGUCGUGAGAUGUUGGGUUAAGUCCCGCAACGAGCGCAACCCUUGCCUUUAGUUGCCAUCAUUCAGUUGGGCACUCUAGAGGGACUGCCGGUGUCAAACCGGAGGAAGUGGGGAUGACGUCAAGUCCUCAUGGCCUUUAUGCCCAGGGCUACACACGUGCUACAAUGGGCGGUACAAAGAGCAGCGAGCUCGCGAGAGUAAGCAAAUCUCAAAAAGCCGUCCUCAGUUCGGAUUGGAGUCUGCAACUCGACUCCAUGAAGUUGGAAUCGCUAGUAAUCGCGGAUCAGCAUGCCGCGGUGAAUACGUUCCCGGGCCUU
rnacentral:rRNA from 1 species